AACACGCUCCUUAGAUCCACCUCUGGAGAUGGCUGUCUUUUAGGCAGUGCACCUCAGCAGCUUUCUGGCUGUACAGUUGGAGGUGCUUGAGUCAUUGGCGUGUGAGAGCAGUCCACCUGUCCCCCAGCCCAUCUGCAUCACUGGCAACCCUGUCUACUACAGACAGGGAGCCCCCAGUGUUGCCAGCCUGGGGGAUGGACACG
ensembl:snoRNA small nucleolar RNA SNORA53